AUGGGUGGGAACUGUCGGUCUCCAUGGCAUCUCCUUGGAGACUUUGACGUCAAUGGCCUGGAAUAUUCCCAGAUCCAGUUCCAGAAGCUCAGUUCCUUUGAAGCUUGAGGAAGAAGCAAAGUGGCUUACUGGAAGAGAACCAUCGCGAGCCUUCCACUGUGUUGCAGAAUCAUCGCGAGCCUACCACGGUGUUGCAAGAACCAUCGCGAGCCUUCCACUGUGUUGCAGAACUAUCGCGAGACUUCCACUGUGUUGCAAGAACCAUCGCGAGCCUUCCAAAACCAACACAACAACGCAAGCCUUCCAGCGGACUAUUGUAAGUUGAAACAGUACCUCUGCAUGCUCAGUCGCUUGUUGCACGUGUACGCGCACGUGUAUGUUGUUCCAGCUAUUAGAUCGGUUGUUCACUCUCUGGCCUCUGAUCUUUAAUAUCGGUGUUGCAUUGUUUGUUGAGAGUGGAAGGUUUUUGGUCUUGUGUUUAAGUACGUGUGGCCCCUUCUUGACUGUGAGGUGUGUAGGCAAUGCAGCUUAAUAGAUACAUACUUGCCAGCAAAGCGCACGUUAAAUGCAUGUGUGCAUGGCUAAACUCGUGUCGACAACGCUCUUUAUAUACUGUUUAUAUACGCGUGGCUAAGAGUCUAUUACCUGCAUGGCCUUGAACCCUUAGGGGGGGGUGGUGUCCGUCUAUAGCACUCAAGUAAUCAAUCAGAAUGUGUGUGGAAGGUUCUUCAACAGCCGGGUUGCAGGACAGCAUCUUCUUGUUCUUGGAACCGUUGUCGAACCAGCCUUUGGGGUGCAAUGAUGGAUUACUCAUGGCAUUCCAGUCUACGGAGGGAGCACUUUGCUGUUAGUACCUGCCUAAUGGGAAAGCAGCACAGGGUAUGUUCCUCCGGGAGCAUAUCCUGCCAUAAUAGGGAGUGUUGAGAUCUCGUUAUCAGUUCCAAUAGUUAGUUAGCUAGGAUCAUUAGAAUAGCUAGCUAUAGACAACUGCUGCUUCUUGGCUUAUGCUAAUCUGUUAUAACGGCUUUUUUAGGAUCUUAACUCUGUGCCUACUGCACAUGGAAUUGGUAAGUUCAGGCUUUAACUAAACCUAGGUGUGCCAAGGGAACUGUAGCCUUUGACUGGGUUAGUGAAGAGUAGUCUUGAGCACUUGUGCAAGCCUUGCGUGCCAGGCUUGUUGCAACUGGAGUCGACAAGGGCUUCAAGAGCAAGGAGGUGUUGUCUCUGAGAGUCUGCUGUUGAUGAACCAUCCCACACAUUCUGGUUGAUUACUUCUGUGCUCAGUUAAUGGUACUCACAGUCACAGGGUUCCUUCAGUUUAUUAUGCCCUUACUGUAUUAGUCCCUUGGGCAAGGAAACUACUGGUGGUGGUUGGUUUAUUAUGGGAAGUUCUGUCUUCUCUGCACAGUUGGUUUGACACAAUGUUUGAUUGUCUGGUAUUGUGUUGAUAAUAAUUAUCUGGUGGUCUUGUGGUGCAGUCUUUGCUGUUGAAUUGAUUGAUUUGUUGUCAUCUCUUCUCUGCACAAAGCACUGCUGAUUGUUUGGUGUUGGAUUGUGGGAGUAUUGAUAAUAUAAUGUAUUAUUGGUGAUGUUUUGUCAGCUGUGGUGGUGAUUGGCUGGUAGUGUAUUGUGUGGAGUGGAUGGUUUUGUUUGAACUGCUGCUCUCAAUGUAACCAUGCAUUUGCUUGUUCUCUUGCAGCCACAAUGCACACACACACACAGCUCCUCCUACUAGCUACUGUACUAGUGUUCCAUUCUCUCACUGCUUUUGUCUCCCCUCUCCCCCAGGUACAGACAAGCCAUGCUGCUCUGGGAUCCAGGGAGGAUCACUAACCUCAUCAAUGACUGCAUGUUCUGUAUAAUUAUAUUGCAGGGUAUGGAAGGGGGCGGGGCUUGGCUGUACGCCCCCACAUCUCUUUAGGGGCGGGGCUCGGAUCUCACCGCCCACUUACAAGUCCAGUGUGCAUGUAUGUAUGGAGACAUUCAAGAUGAGUAUGGCUGGUUACAUGUACAGUGUCUUUCAUACAUUCCAUGAUGUAUAGGUUGAUGUCUGCACAACAAGAGGAGUAGCUCCAUUGUGUACAGUAUAUCCUUGAGAGGCCACGUACCCUAACUGCAUCUAUAAUUAUACAAAAACAGGCUAGCUUUGUUGUGUGGCAAGUCUUUCAUGCUCUCUGUGUAGGUUGAUGUGUGUGGAGAGGAGCCACUGUAACAGCAUACAGCAUACACACAGAUGAGUAGCUAGCUUUGUUGUGUGGCAAGUCUUUUAUGCUCUUGUGUAGGAGGUUGAUGUGUGUGGAGGAGCCACUGUAACAGCAUACAGCAUACACAUAGAUGAGUAGCUAGCUAUGUUGUGUGGCAAGCCUUUCAUGCUCUCUGUGUAGGUUGAUUGUGUGUGGAGGAGCCACUGUAACAAUACACACCAGAUCAGUAGCUAGCUAUGUUGUAUGGCAAGUCUUUCAUGUUCUCUGUGCAGGUUGAUUGCAUGUGGAGGAGCCACUGUAACAGCAUACACACAGAUGAGUAGCUAGCUAUGUUGUGUGUCAUGUCUUUACGAUACCUAUACUUACAGGUUGAUUGCUUGGGAUGGACAGCAGUAACCAACACUACAAGCAGCUCAACUCUUAUUCUCAUUACAAAUUGUUCCUUGGCUUUAUAAUUUGUAUGACAAUUAUGUUUAAUAUUUUUAUGUAUUAUAAUACAAUAUAGUUAAAAUAAGUUGGUAAUGGAUAA